AGGGCACCACCAGGAGUGGAGCCUGCGGCUUAAUUUGACUCAACACGGGAAAUCUCACCAGGCCCGGACACCGGUAGGAUUGACAGAUUGAGAGCUCUUUCUUGAUUCGGUGGGUGGUGGUGCAUGGCCGUUCUUAGUUGGUGGAGCGAUUUGUCUGGUUAAUUCCGAUAACGAACGGGACUCUGGCCUACUAACUAGACGUUAGAUCCCUUCGUGGGUCUAUCGCAGCUUCUUAGAGGGACGGGCGGCGUUUAGCCGCACGAGAUUGAGCAAUAACAGGUCUGUGAUGCCCUUAGAUGUUCUGGGCUGCACGCGCGCUACACUGAAGGAAUCAGCGUGUGUUCCCUACCCGAAAGGGUUGGGAAACCCGUUGAACCUCCUUCGUGAUGGGGAUUGGGGAUUGCAAUUAUUCCCCAUGAACGAGGAAUUCCCAGUAGGCGCGAGUCAUAAGCUCGCGUCGAUUACGUCCCUGCCCUUUGUACACGCCGCCCGUCGCUACUACCGAUCGAGUUAUUUAGU
rnacentral:rRNA from 1 species